CAGCAGCCGCGGUAAUACCGGCGGCCCGAGUGGCGGUCACUAUUAUUUGGCUUAAAGCGUCCGUAGCCGGGUUGGGAAGGCCUCCGGGAAAUCUGGCCGCUUAAAGGUCAGAAUGCCGGAGGAUACUCCCAGCCUAGGGAGCGGGAGAGGCCGAGGGUAUUCCCGGAGUAGGGGUGAAAUCCUAUAAUCCCGGGAGGACCACCUGUGGCGAAGGCGCUCGGCUGGAACGCGUCCGACGGUGAGGGACGAAGGCCAGGGGAGCAAACCGGAUUAGAUACCCGGGUAGUCCUGGCUGUAAACGAUGCGGACUUUGUGUCGGACAAGCUAUGAGCUUGUCCGGUGCCGGAGGGAAACCGUUAAGUCCGCCGCCUGGGGAGUACGGCCGCAAGGCUGAAACUUAAAGGAAUUGGCGGG
rnacentral:rRNA from 1 species